rnacentral:rRNA from 1 species
AUGUUAACUAUCUCCCAUACCUCCCAUGAGUUUAUGGAAGACUUGAAGGAGACAGAUUUAUGUGCUGCACUUGUUGUAAAAGGAGAAGAGCACCUGACUGUUGAAAUUCCAGCAAAGGUAAGUGGUUUAUUGGCAGAGUUUCAGAACAUACUUGGAGAGCCGCAUAGAAUUGACUUAAUUCUGGGAGAAAGUCUUCCUGAUCUUCCACACUGUCGAAUAAGCCAAAAAGAGCAUGAUAUGUUGAAGGAGAAAGUGGAGGAAUUGCUGCAAAAAGGGCACAUUCAAGAAAGUAUUAACCCAUGUGCUGUACCAGCCCUGCUCGCGCCAAAGAAAGAUGGGUCUUGGCUCAUGUGUACGGACAGUAGAGCCAUUAACAAGAUCACUGUAAGGUUGAAGCAAUCCGAGAAUGGCCAGCUCCAAAGACCAUUUCUGAGGUAA